UCCUAGCAGUAAACGGUGCACGUUUGGUGUGGGCAGGUUCAGACCCUGUCCGUGCCGGAGCUAACGCGUUAAACGUGCCGCCUGGGAAGUACGGUCGCAAGAUUAAAACUCAAAGAAAUUGACGGGGGCCCGCACAAGCGGUGGAGUAUGUGGCUUAAUUCGAUGCAACGCGAAGAACCUUACCUGGUCUUGACAUGCACUGUGUCAUCGGUGAAAGCCGGUUAGUUGGUAGCA
rnacentral:rRNA from 1 species